rnacentral:rRNA from 1 species
UACGUAGGGGGCAAGCGUUGUCCGGAAUCAUCGGUGGCGUAAAGCGCGUGUAGGCGGUUCAGUAAGUCUGCUGUGAAAGUCCAGGGCUCAACCCUGGGAUGCCGGUGGAUACUGCUGGGCUAGAGUACGGAAGAGGCGAGUGGAAUUCCCGGUGUAGCGGUGAAAUGCGCAGAUAUCGGGGAGGAACACCAAUUGCGAAGGCAGCUCGCUGGGACGUUACUGACGCUGAGGCGCGAAAGCGUGGGGAGCAAACAGG